GCCGCGGGCUCGGCACUGGGAACAAAGGGGACCGGCGGAAGGAACGCCCCCAGUCGAUCCCGGAGCGAUGCCCGGGUGGACCAGGGGCUUAGCUCCGGAGAGAGGUUUCCCACUGGAUUCGUGCACAGCCCCUCCCCUGCGGCGCCGGCUCUGCGAGCCCCAGUUUCCUCAUCUGGCAGCUGGAAACAAAUCCUUCCGGAAGUGUCCAGGACCCACGAAAGUGUUUUAAUUUCUUUUAGUUUUGGUAAAAAGUACUAAACGCGACCGGGCGUGGGGGCUCACGCCUGUAAUCCCAGCACUUUGGGAGACCGAGGCUGACGGAUCACUUGAGGUCAGGAGUUCGAGGCCAGUCUGGCCAACAUGGUGAAACCCCGUCUCUGCUCAAAAUACAAAAAUUAGCCGGGCGUGGUGGCAUGCGCCUGUAAUCCCAGGUACUCGGGUGACUGAGGCAGGAGAAUCGCUUGAACCCGGGAGGCGGAGGUUGCAGUGAGCCAAGAUCGCACCAUUGCACUCCAGCCUGAGCGACAGAGCGAGACCCUAUCUCAAAUAAAUAAAUACAUACAUAAAAAGGGCAGGGCACGGUGGCUCACGCCUGUAAUCCCAACACUUUGGGAGGCCGAGGCGGGCGGAUCACCUGAGGUCAGGAGUUCGAGACCAGCCUGGUCAACAUGGUAAAACCCCUUCUCUACUAAUAACACAAAAAUUAGCUGGGCAUGGUGGCGGGCGCCUGUAGUCUCAGCUACUCAAGAGGCUGAGUCACGAGAACCGCUUGAACCCAGGAGGUGGAGGUUGCAGUGAGCCAAGAUCACACCACCGCACUCCAGCCUAGGCAACAGAGUGAAACUGUGUCAAAAAAAAAAAAAAAAAGAAAAAGAAAAAGAAAGAAAGAAGAAAGAAAGAAAAGAAAAGAAAAAAGAAAAGAGAAGAAAAAGUACUGAAUGCAGUGGAAAGUAGCAUUUUUAAUUUUUUAUAAAGUGGAAGAUAGGCCCACAAAGCAAAAGUGCCCAGAGCUGACAAAAAUCUCUGGAGAAAGGACCUCUCUGGUCGUUGCCAAAGGGAGCAGCUGACGCUGUUGUAAAGCCCGCAGCUCGAUUCCCAGCGUGAAGUAGGGGGUGAGAAUAUGACAGCCUCCUGAUGAUCACGGAAAGGCGGACUUUGUCUACACACCAGGGAAGAUGGCUUCAGGCAGUCCACAUACUCCCAUGCCUAUGACACAAAGUUUGCGUCAAAUGCCGAAUGACCGUAGAAAGGUGGACGUUGAGUUCUUCAGCAGCUUCUGGUGUAGUUGUAAGAGGACCAGCUUCCGUGAUUGCUCUCAGUUGGUGGUUGUCAACUUCCGACGACUGGCCGCUACGCUCCUCAUCUUCAAGGCUCUCCUCUCUUUUGCAAAACUUCUUGAACCCCCACUGCACGGUAACUGUGGCCACGUGGACCAAGCCAACGCCGGCUCCUCUCAUUCCCAUUGAGAUCAGCAAGGCAACUCCAGCCUGUACCACCAAUAUCCCCAGGCCAGGAGAACAGCCAGUGAAAGCCCAUUUGAAAGACUGCCAUAUUCCUCACCAAUCCGUUUCUCAAGGCCAAGAGCAGCAUUCAGAACAUUAGCCAAAGCAGCAAACUGCUAAAGCAGCUGCCCACACCCCCUGAAAGAAUGCACCUAAAUCAAUAACUUCAUUCCAGUAUGACUAUACAUAUUGGUGCAGCCAUGCUCUUCCUUCAAGAAGCAAUUCUUCAUUCUCCUUCCAUAAUAAUGCAUUUCACUCCCAGGCCUGGUUGAGUUUCAAUUCUGGUUACCAGCCAGGUAAAAAUGUGUAGUAGCAGGGCAUGAGAGCGUGGUUAUUUUCCCUCAAAGGGCGAGGACUCUUCCUAAGGGAGGAGAGGCACAGUGGAGUGUUGUAGAGUGGUAGGACCGGGGGAGUCUCGGAAUAUUUCUGGAUAUUUUUAUUCCAGUUCCAUCUUGUCGGGCUUUCUUUCUUUCUCAACCAUUGCCCUCACUUUUGGUUAAAAGUA
rnacentral:lncRNA from 10 species